rnacentral:rRNA from 1 species
CCUACGGGUGGCAGCAGUGAGGAAUAUUGCACAAUGGGGGAAACCCUGAUGCAGCAACGCCGCGUGAAGGAAGACGGUUUUCGGAGUGUAAACUUCUGUUCUUAGUGAAGAAUAAUGAAGGUAGCUAAGGGGCAAGCCACGGCUAAGUACGUGCCAGCAGCCGAGGUAAUACGUAGGUGGCAAGCGUUGUCCGGAAUUACGGGGUGUAAAGGGAGCGUAGGCGGGAAGCCAAGGCAGUUGUGAAAACUAGGGGCUUAACUUGUAGACUGCAGUUGAAACUGGUUUUCUUGAGUGAAGUAGAGGUUGGCGGAAUUCCGAGUGUAGCGGUGAAAUGCGUAGAUAUUCGGAGGAACACCGGUGGCGAAGGCGGCCAACUGGGCUUUAACUGACGCUGAGGCUCGAAAGUGUGGGGAGCAAACAGGAUUAGAUACCCUUGUAGUC